AACCUUUACAAUGCACGAAAGUGUGAUAAGGGAAUCCCAAGUGUCUUACUUUUAGUAAGGCUUUUGCCAAGAAUAAAAACCUUGGCGAAUAAAUGGUGGGCAAGACUUGUGCCAGCCGCCGCGGUAACACCAGCGCCAUAAGUGGCAACCGCUAUUAUUGGGCCUAAAGCGCCCGUAGCCGGUUCAUUAAAUUUUCUGUGAAAUCGUUAGGCUUAACUUAACGGCAUGCAGAAAAGACUACUGAACUUGGGACCGGGAGGCGUCAGAGGUAUUCCUGAGGGAGCGGUAAAAUGCUAUAAUCUUAGGAAGACCCCCUGUGGUGAAGACGUCUGACGAGAACGGAUCCGACGGUGAGGGACGAAAGCUAGGGGAGCGAACCGG
rnacentral:rRNA from 1 species